CGGAGGGACUCCUUUGCGGGGGGUGGGGCGCGGAGGGACUCCUUUGCAGGGUCAGGAAUUCGAGGAAGGAGACAGCACUGCGGUCCUUGGAAUGUGGCGGGAGUGGCGGCGGCGGCAGCGGAGCCGAGGUGUCCGCACUGCGCCGGGAGCCCGGAGGGGCGCGGAGGCUGCGCCGGGACGCUGGGGCGGGCAGGUUGGCGCUGCCCUUCCGUGGUGAAACGCGCAGCCGGGGUGCGGCUCGAAGCGCCAGGGGCUCAUCCUGGGCCCAGGCCUCCGGGAAGAUUGUGGAUUCCCGCGAGCUGAGCUGGAGGCGCUGCCCCUAUUCUGGCUGGAGAAAUACGAGCGGUAGAGAGUUGCUUCUCACAUCCUCCCCCAUCUUACUUAGCACUGCCUCGGUUUCAGGCACUGGGCUGAGCAAGUUCAGUGUUGUGCAGGCAGCGCACCGCUAGCACCGACCCUCUAGAACACUAUGUCUUGUAAAUGCGCCUUUAGGACCUAGCAUGAACUCACCACCUUCAGCCAGUGGGGAAGACGCCUAGAGCUGGGAACUAUGGUUGGUUGGAGACUGGUCCUCUGGCUGGGUUGCUGCACACAUAGCCUUUGAAGGCCAGACAAGGCUGGAGAUAGGCCUCAGGCUCAGGACCAGCAGGCAGUAGGCUCAGCUGUGCACACCCAAGGGCAGCCAACUUUGAAGUAUGAGGACACCUUGCUUUUCCAGGCUACCCUCUGAAUUUUGGGUGUGGCCUGAUGUACAUGCUCUCAAAAGCACUGAUGGUGCCUCGACCUGUAAAGCCACAGAGAGCACGUGGAUGAGCAUUCUUCAAAGGUACAAACUGCCAGGAUCCAGGAAAACAGUCUCAAGUGGAAAAGUUCCCUGUGUUCCAGGUACCUCAGAGAAUGCAAAGAAGGCGCCUCCAGUAUCUCAGGGUCAGGAAGCCUGCACAGGGAAUUGUGCUGGCCCAGACUGACCUGGCAAACUGGCCUCAACAUUGCUGAGGAGUCAGCUGUGGACCAAGUUACCACAGAACCGCCCAUGGCAGAACUGAUAGGAAACUGCUACGCAUAAGUUGCUAUUGUAGUUUAGAAGGCCAGUUUGGGACUGAGGAUACAGCUCAGCAACACAGCACCAGCCAGUCAAAUGAAAGUGGAAGAAGCAUAUCCUAACAGCAGUUGAGAUAAACAACAACAAUAACAUUAACAAAGAGUGUUUACAAUGUGCCAAGAAUUCUUCUGACCACUAUACAACAACUUAUUUUAUCAAGACAACAACUCUAUAAAGAAGAUUCACAUUGUGAUCUGUUUUCUACCAAGGUACAGAGAAAGGUAUGAAGAUAUAUGUAAUAGUAGAGGGUAAGACUGGGAUUCAAACCCACUUAGUAGGGCCUCAAAUUUUAUGCUCUGAAUAUUACACCAAAGAUAGUUCAGUGGACUGAGAACAGCCACACACCAGCCCUUCCAGUGCACAGGCUGGCAAACAAAAAGUACCAACCCCUCCACUGAAGCCACGGGCUUAUCCAGAGAAACACAGGCUAUGAUAGCUAUGGAGAUAAAGAGCAACUGGAUGCCUGUGGUGCUUUGGUGUUUCACUAACACUACAGGUCUAGGGUCAGUGGUCUGAUCAUAGGUUUAGAGGAUAAUGGUAUGCAGUAUAGCAUGGGGGGUGGGGGAGAGAUCUCCUUCUAAGGGAUGUAGCCACUGUUGACUUCCUAUGGUCUUGUUUUGAGUUCCUAUAUCAUUUCCGUUGUGUUGUUGGGUUGGAUUUUAUUCUCAUUUGUUUUGUUUGAGUAUGUUACAUACAAUGGCAGGAGAAGCUAUUUCAAGGAUGGCAAAA